UGGGAAAAAGGAUUGUCCCACAGGCCUGGAA
rnacentral:piRNA from 1 species